rnacentral:rRNA from 1 species
AUUGAACGCUGGCGGCGUGCUUAACACAUGCAAGUCGAUCGGUAACAGGUGUAGCAAUACAUGCUGACGAGAGGCGGACGGGUGAGUAAUGCUUGGGAAUCUGCCUAUUAGUGGGGGACAACCCGGGGAAACUCGGGCUAAUACCGCAUACGCUCUACGGAGGAAAGCCGGGGACCGCAAGGCCUGGCGCUAAUAGAUGAGCCCAAGUCGGAUUAGCUAGUUGGUAGGGUAACGGCCUACCAAGGCGACAAUCCGUAGCUGGUCUGAGAGGACGACCAGCCACACCGGAACUGAGACACGGUCCGGACUCCUACGGGAGGCAGCAGUGGGGAAUAUUGGACAAUGGGGGCAACCCUGAUCCAGCGACGCCGCGUGGGUGAAGAAGGCCUGCGGUUGUAAAGCCUUUCGGUGGGAAGAAAGUCUCGACCUAAUACGUCGGGCCUUGACGUAACCCACUAAAGAAGCACCGGCUAACUCUGUGCCAGCCGCCG